UGUGGUGCUUCUUUGCUUACUAUGCUAACAGAACUUCACGGUGAUGUGCAAAAUACUCGCUUCUGCUUGGCUAAAAUACCCAAAUUUUACAAACUUUAGUAUACAAAACUUAAUCCAUAUACCAAAUUUGAAAACCAUUGGAACAAAAUUGUAGGCAGUGACGAUAACCACAAAGAUCCAUCAUUAGAUUCUGAAGCGCAGUAAGACCCACUGACUUGAACUGAGACGCACUGCAUCAGAAUUCGAAAUCACGUGAUGUUGAUAUAUCUGCUACUUAACUUUUGAGUCUGUCUCACAAAGGUUAUCUGCCUACGAAGAGAAAAGGCUCGAAUUCACUGACAAUAUAAUUAACAGUGGAAUCAAACCUCUUUGGUAUCAUGAAAUGGUCCAUCGAUUAGAUAAACAAAACUGACAUAAAGAUUCUCAAGUUUCUCGUAAUGUACCGCAUGCAUCAUUCAAAGGCAGAUGUAGACAGAAUAUACAUCCCACGAAAGGAUGGUGGAUGUCUCAAAAGGUAGCAUUGAUAGAGUUAGAAACCUAUCUAAAUAAUACGAGUGACUCAGCGAUUGAACUUGUUUGCAAGCAUAGAAUUGUCUAAAAACUACACUCAAUAUGAGAUGAAGCAUAGAAAUAUGAAAAAGGAAUUAAAGAUCAUCAAGACUGAGGCGUAACUAAAUAAAAGCAGAUGCAUCCACCGUGAAAAUAAACAGAUAAAAGCAUAAGCCAAAUCAAAUGGGAAUCUCAGAGCUGCAUAGUAGAUAGAAAAGUAAGGCAUUAUAUGGUAAAUACUCUACAAGGACCAGCAAUUCUUAUGUGGCUGUCUGCAUCUGUACUUAAAUCCAAAACAGAAGGAUUCAUUAUAGGGACUCGGUAUCAAUGUCCGCUCACUGGAAAUUACCAAGUCAACAUUCUUGACUAUCUUAUCGUGUUGCUUCAACUGAGUAUACUAAUUACGAUGACAAACUCGGAAAAAAAAUUGUACUGGUUUACAUACCGUCAGUUUGGAUUCUUAUAUAAAAAGACCUAUCGGGAAUAUAAGCCUGUCAAAGUAGUAGAAAAUAAAGAUACCACUGAUUUUUGUUUUCGUCUUUAAUAUUUAAAUUGAUGGAGUUAUUCGGGCCAAUAGACAAGAUACUAUGGUGAAAAUCACAUUGGAAAAACUUGUCAGCUCAUAGAUAUGUCAACCCCAGCAAAGUGUAAUACCUCUGUGAAAAUGUUUGAAAAAUUAAGUAAAUACAAAUAUUUUGAAAUAGAGAUAAAAUAUCUGACAUCUGAGAAUGGUAACUGUGGCUUUGAAGAUAAUACCAAAUGGCACUCUUGAAUGCCAGGAAAUUCAAGAAGUAUCAGAACUAUAAAAAAAAUUUCACAUGGGUACA
rnacentral:lncRNA from 1 species